rnacentral:lncRNA from 1 species
AUGGUGGAGUCAAGAAUAAAUGAGUUCAGGGGUCCAGAGAACAGAAUGGAAAAGAAUUUUCUUGUGAAGAAAUCAGGAAUUCAAAGAAACAUCCAGCUCUUCCACCUCCCUCUCCUUUCUUCUGAUGCUAAAUUUCAUUCCUUCACUAUCCACUUUUCUUUAGUUGUGCCAUGAUUGGCUUUAUUUGCAGGAGAAUUACCUUAACACAAGUAAGAUGGUUUUGCUGCUGAAUGAAGGGAUCCCCAUAGGCACCUUUCCAUAACGUGCAUCAUCUACCACAGUUCUUCAGCUCAUUUGGACCUUCCUUAAGUUUUUGUGAAUGGAUCUUAGGCAGAGAUUCUCUCAAGCAUUGAAGGAUCUAGUAUGCACACUCACAUGAUUCCUCAGCUCUUAACUUGCUGCUACACUCUGGGCCAUUAUUUGAAAACAAAUAGCCCUGUUUCCUCUGCUUCCUAAACUAAACAGACGAUAAGAAAGAAGCAGGAGUAAUGAUGGAAGCUCAAGGUAUCAGGGGCCAACAAAGAGGACAUCAAUCCUCUUAAAGAGAGAAGCCUCAGUUGUUCUAUUAUGAUUUUGAAACUAAUCAUAACAAUUCAAGCUUAAUCCCAUAGUUGGUAGGGUGGGGGCCUUUGUUUAUAAUGUGACAUUUGAUUUCCUUAACAAUGUCUCUGGCAUUUUGCAUUAAAAUUUCACCUAUGUGAAGUGUACUGAAAUCUGUCUGACAUUUAUUUACUCUUUAUGUUUGAAAAAAAAAAUCCAUCAGGGAACUGUUUCAAAAAAGAUAGUAUUGCAACAGCUUUCUCUGAAAUGAAUAGGAUGAGAUAGCUUUUAGAAUUGUACCUUGUUUGCUUUUUUUUUUUUCUUCUUAAAUUAGAUUUUGGAUCUCUUGUCAAGUAAAAUAAUGUAAGAUUAUUCCGAGAAGAGCUCUUUUUUUUUUUUUUUAAAUUAGAAUUCAAGAGGGAAAACCUCUAACAACUUUAAAUUACACCAUCCCAGGCCAGCACCCUGAUCUUUAAAUGAAAUGCU